rnacentral:tRNA from 1 species
GUGGGCGUAGCUCAGUUGGUAGAGCCCCGGCUUGUGGUGCCGGCUGUCGCGGGUUCGAGUCCCGUCGCUCACCCCG